rnacentral:lncRNA from 1 species
GGUUUCAAUAGUGUCAAUAGUUGUUUCCAGGUUCCUAAAUUAAAAGCCGUUAUUCUCCCAGCAGGGGGAGAUCUGAGGAUGCACUAACACCUCCCAUCAGCAGCACGAAGGCAGACAAAGAUGUGGUGCUCCCUCAGUGUGCAACUAAAAGAAAAGAGAAGAACUACGAUGAUGUACAUUGCGCUGGCAUUUAUUCCAACGAUCCUGUAUAUGGCAACAUGGAGAGUGACUGGGAUGACGCAAUCUAUGGCAAUAUGUAACUUAAAUGAAUUGGAGGAACAGAUGCAGUCCCGCUGUUGUCCAACUGAUGUGAGUCGAGAAAGCUGUACAAAUAUGAAUAUGCUUUCUUCUGUAUAUAUGUGUGAUUUUCUUCAGUUUUCUGUGAUUCACAUAUAUGUUUUUUUUAAUUUUUUUUAAGUACAUUAUGUGUUGAAUUUUCAUUCACGGCUAUAAAAGCAACAUGGUCACUGUGCUCAUCACAGAUGUUGUAUGAGUACGCGCAGCCUCACAGAUUGUAUUCACUCAUUAUUCAACUAAAAGAAGUUACACAGUGAACAUGUUCUGUGUGUGCUCGGGUCAAUGUGGAAAACCCCUUGAGGCUUUCAAAGUGUGUGAAUAAUAAAAAGACAGGAAGGCAAAGGGGAAGCUGGUCACCGUCUCUGGUGCUAUAACGGUACUGAAGUGAGCACACAUUUCAAACACAGAAACACCCAACACUACACAAUUCUCGGCACAAGCUUUGCCUCAAAUGAUCAUAAACAAUAACCGCAAACAGUUUUCCUCAAAAGCGUAGUAAUAUUUAGAAAAAUGUGGAAAAAAGAAUUAGAGGCAUCUUCCCAUUUUAAAGCAGUCUGAAUUAUAUUACUGUGUAAAAAAUCCAUUAAUGGAAUCUGGAAAAAACAGCUUAAAGCUUAAUGCUAACUAAUUUAACAAUCUUUAGCAUUCAGAUAAAGAAAAACACAUUUGUGAAGAGUAGCCCAUAAGAAAUUAAAAUAUUGCCUGUUGAUUUGUUGUCUUUACUCCCUUGAAUGUUGAACCUCAUAUACUGUAGGUGCCCUGAAACAUUGUAUCAUCUGAAAUAAUAAAAAAAUACACA